UACGUAGGAGGCAAGCGUUGUCCGGAAUCAUUGGGCGUAAAGAGCGCGUAGGCGGUCCGGUAAGUCCGCUCUGAAAGUCCGGGGCUCAACCCCGGGAGGCGGGCGGAGACUGUCGGGCUAGAGUCCGGAAGAGGCGAGUGGAAUUCCUGGUGUAGCGGUGAAAUGCGCAGAUAUCAGGAGGAACACCAAUGGCGAAGGCAGCUCGCUGGGACGGUACUGACGCUGAGGCGCGAAAGCGUGGGGAGCAAACAGG
rnacentral:rRNA from 1 species